GAGAGCCGUGUUAUGGGUGACCUUAUUGCACGGUUCAGAGAGCACUUGUGUAU
rnacentral:sRNA from 1 species